GUUGAUCCUGCGGGAGAUUGCUGCUAUGAGGAUUCGAUUUAGCCAUGCAAGUCUGGGAGUAAUCCCGGCGCCAUGCUCAGUAACACGUCGCUAACCUCCCCUUCGGUCAGGGAUAAUCUCGGGAAACUGAGGGUAAUACCUGAUAGGGACUCCGGCCUGGAAUGGUGGUGUCCUGAAACUCGCGCCGAAGGAUGGGGCGGCGGCUGAUUAGGCUGUUGGUGGGGUAACGGCCCACCAAACCGAAGAUCAGUACGGGCCAUGAAAGUGGUAGCCCGGAGAGGAACACUGAAAAACUGGUUCCAGCCCUACGGGGUGCAGCAGGCGCGAAACCUUUACAAUGCACGCAAGUGUGAUAAGGGAAUCCUCAGUGCUCACGUUUAACGUGGGCUUUUGGUAAGUGUAAAUAGCUUGCCGAAUAAGUGGUGGGCAAGACUGGUGCCAGCCGCCGCGGUAACACCAGCGCCACAAGUGGCAAUCGCGAUUAUUGGGCCUAAAGCGUUCGUAGCCUGCCUGGUAAAUCCUUUGUGAAAUCGUACGGCUUAACCGUUCGGCGUGCAGGGGACACUGCCAAGCUCGAGACCGGGAGGGGUUAGAGGUAUUCGUAGGGGACUGGUAAAAUGGUAUAAUCCUACGAGGACCACCGAUGGCGAAGGCAUCUAACCAGAACGGAUCUGACGGUGAGGAACGAAAGCCAGGGGAGCGAACCGGAUUAGAUACCCGAGUAGUCCUGGCCGUAAACGCUGCCAGCUAGGUGUUGCGCAAUUUAUAGGAUUGCGCAGUGUCGAAUCGAAGGAGUUAAGCUGGCCGCCUGGGAAGUACGGUCGCAAGGCUGAAACUUUAAGGAAUUGGCGGGGGAGCACUACAAGGGGUGCGGCGUGCGGUUUAAUCUAACUCAACGCAGAGAACCUCACUAGGAGCGACGGCAGGAUGAAGGCCAGGUUGAAGACUUUGCCUGACGAGCCGAGAGGUAGUGCAUGGCCGUCGUCAGCUCGUGCCGUAAGGUGUCCUCUUAAGUGAGGCAACGAGCGAGACCUGUACCCACAGUUGCUACCGACCUUAGGGAUUGGGCACACUGUGGGGACUGCCCUGGAAACAGGGAGGAAGGUGCAGGCUACGGUAGGUCUGUAUGCUCCGAAUCUUCUAGGCUACACGCGCGCAACAAUGGUAACGACAAUGGGCUGCAACACCGAGAGGUGAAGCUAAUCCUCGAAACGUUAUCCUAGUCCAGAUUGAGGCUUGCAACUCAGCCUCAUGACGCCGGAAUCCCUAGUAAUCGGGUGUUAUCAUCGCCCGGUGAAUAUGUCCCUGCUCCUUGCACACACCGCCCGUCAAGCCAACCGAGCAGGGUUUAGGUAAAACGCAGUUUUCUUGACUACGUUGAAUCUAAGCUCAGUGAGGUGGGCUAAGUCGUCACAAGGUA
rnacentral:rRNA from 1 species